rnacentral:rRNA from 1 species
AUUGAACGCUGGCGGCAGGCCUAACACAUGCAAGUCGAACGGUAGCACAGAGAGCUUGCUCUCGGGUGACGAGUGGCGGACGGGUGAGUAACGUCUGGGAAACUGCCCGAUGGAGGGGGAUAACUACUGGAAACGGUAGCUAAUACCGCAUAACGUCGCAAGACCAAAGUGGGGGACCUUCGGGCCUCACACCAUCCGAUCGUCCCAGAUGGGAUUAGCUAGUAGGGGGGGUAAUGGCUCACCUAGGCGACGAUCCCUAGCUGGUCUGAGAGGAUGACCAGCCACACUGGAACUGAGACACGGUCCAGACUCCUACGGGAGGCAGCAGUGGGGAAUAUUGCACAAUGGGCGCAAGCCUGAUGCAGCCAUGCCGCGUGUAUGAAGAAGGCCUUCGGGUUGUAAAGUACUUUCAGCGGGGAGGAAGGCGGUGAAGUUAAUAACUUCACCGAUUGACGUUACCCGCAGAAGAAGCACCGGCUAACUCCGUGCCAGCCGCCGCCGUAA